UUGGGGUUUUAUUCUUGCUUUUUUGUUCAUUGUUUAAUUGUUUUAUAUGUGAGUUUUUGCGGGAUUUGUCUUGUUGUCUAAAUGGUAAUGAGUUUUGUGUGAGUUUAUUUUCAUUAGUUAUUAUUGGUUGUUAUAAGGUUUCUUGUAUCUAGCAAUUUUAUUAGUUUCGGUUAAAUUUUGUGCCAGCAACCGCGGUUAUACAUUGGGGGCAAUUGAAUAUGUUCGGCGUUGAUAGUUUUAUUGUUAUGUUAGUUGGAUUUAAGGUGUUUUAAGUUUUAUUGUGGGUGGAAUCUUUAUUGUUUUGUUUUUCUUUGUUUAAGUUGUUUGAGGCUGUGAAAUUCUUUUUGUAGACUAGGAUUAGAUACCCUAUUAUUUUGGAGUGUUAAUUUUGUGUGCCUGAGUAGUAUUAGUUAUGUUCUUUAAACUUAAAGAAUUUGGCGGUACCUUUUUCCGUUCAGAGGAAUCUGUUUCGUUAUCGAUAGUCCGCGUUGGACCUUUCUUGGAUUCAUUGGUUUGUAUACCGCCGUUUAUUGAUUAUCUUUUUAGUGUUUUUUAAUUUUCUUUUACUUGGUGUUAGGAGUUUAUUUCAGGUCAAGGUGCAGCUUAUUUCUGAGUGUAUAAUGGAUUACAUUUUUAUUUGUUUAUAUUGGGGCGUUGGCUGUAAUGUUGAUGUGAAAUUGGAUUUGAUUGUAAUGUUUAAUGAAGAUUGUUUUUAUGAUAUUUUGGGCCCUGAGGUAAGUACACAUCGCCCGUCGCUCUCGUUUUUUGUUGAUGAGAUAAGUCGUAACAAAGUGGUUGUACCGGAAGGUGCGGCUAGGUUUAUUUAU
rnacentral:ncRNA from 1 species